AAUCAACGCUGGCGGCGUGCCUCAGACAUGCAAGUCGAACGCGAAAGUUCCCUUCGGGGAGCAAGUAGAGUGGCGCACGGGUGAGUAACACGUAGGUAAUUUGCCUUCGGGUGGGGAAUAACAGUCGGAAACGACUGCUAAUACCGCAUAAUGCAGCGGCUCGACAUCGAGACAGUUGUUAAAGCGGGGGAUCCUUCGGGACCUCGCGCCUGAAGAGAAGCCUGCGGCAGAUUAGCUAGUUGGUGAGGUAAUGGCCCACCAAGGCUACGAUCUGUAACCGGCCUGAGAGGGCGGUCGGUCACACUGACACUGACAUACGGGUCAGACUCCUACGGGAGGCAGCAGUCGGGAAUUUUGGGCAAUGGGCGCAAGCCUGACCCAGCAACGCCGCGUGAAGGAUGAAAUUUUUCGGAAUGU
rnacentral:rRNA from 1 species